CUGGCUCAGAACGAACGCUGGCGGCAAGCUUAACACAUGCAAGUCGAACGGAUUUUUGUCGUAGCUUGCUAUGAUAAAAAUUAGUGGCAGACGGGUGAGUAAUGCAUAGGAAUCUACCUAGUAGUAUGGGAUAGCCACUAGAAAUGGUGGGUAAUACUGUAUAAUCCCUGCGGGGGAAAGAUUUAUCGCUAUUAGAUGAGCCUAUGUUAGAUUAGCUAGUUGGUAGGGUAAAGGCCUACCAAGGCAGUGAUCUAUAGCUGGUCUGAGAGGAUGAUCAGCCACACUGGAACUGAGAUACGGUCCAGACUCCUACGGGAGGCAGCAGUGGGGAAUAUUGGACAAUGGGCGCAAGCCUGAUCCAGCUAUGCCGCGUGAGUGAGGAAGGCCUUAGGGUUGUAAAACUCUUUCAGUGGGGAAGAUAAUGACGGUACCCACAGAAGAAGUCCCGGCAAACUC
rnacentral:rRNA from 1 species